CAAAGCUCUUCCUCCAGAAUUGUCUAACAGAGGCCAUAACUACUUACAGGUCAAUGUCAUUGUUCUAAAACAUAAAGUCAACAAUAGCCUUUGUAGCCACAGCUACCCCAGAAUAGAAUCCACUGGCUUCCAAUCAAUGUUCUACUUUGUGAGGGGCAUCAUAACUUCUUGACCACAGGGAACACAAAUACCUCAGGGAGAGCCUUUGGUUGGCAGGGGUGCUAUGUAGCAUUCCCAGGUUAAAGGCUUGAAAACAAGACUUAAUUUUGAAGGGUCUUGCUAUGUUGCCCAGGCUGGUCUCAAACUCCUGGGUUCAAGUGAUCCUCCUGCUGUGGCCUCCCAAAGUGCUGGGAUUACAGUGUCUGGAAGUGUUCUGCCUAGCAGCUGCCUCAUCAGCAUGGAUCCACAAGUAAGGCUGACAAAGACAUGGAGCUGAGUCUCCAGCCAACCCACAAUGGCAUUGCAGCAUGAGUGACACAAAAACCUUUGUUGUUUUAAGCCACUUUGGAUAUGUUGUUCAAAGCAUUGUCUAGCUUAUCCUUAGAAAUUACUAUUGAGUGGAUUUGCUUGGAAGUCAUCUAUUCAAUUUUAAUAAAUAAUGCCAUGCUGUAUCUAAAGAGGUGAAG
rnacentral:lncRNA from 13 species